rnacentral:rRNA from 1 species
ACUCUGUUGUUGGAGAAGAACGUGCGUGAGAGUAACUGUUCACGCAGUGACGGUAUCCAACCAGAAAGUCACGGCUAACUACGUGCCAGCAGCCGCGGUAAUACGUAGGUGGCAAGCGUUAUCCGGAUUUAUUGGGCGUAAAGCGAGCGCAGGCGGUUGCUUAGGUCUGAUGUGAAAGCCUUCGGCUUAACCGAAGAAGUGCAUCGGAAACCGGGCGACUUGAGUGCAGAAGAGGACAGUGGAACUCCAUGUGUAGCGGUG